AUGUCUGUCAACGCUCUGGAGUUGGUGUGUUGGAACGUCAGAGGACUUAACAACCCGGCCAAGAGGAAGGCUCUUAGAGGAUUUGUAGACUCGGUGAACGCGGCGAUUGUAUGUAUUUUAGAAACCAAGCUAGAGGUCGUGAACAUUUUUGUAAUCCUGCAAUGCAUGGGGCCAAACUAUGAUGGUUUUACCUAUUUACCGGCGUCGGAGACGAGAGGUGGCAUUUUUGUGGCUUGGGACACC
rnacentral:rRNA from 1 species